ensembl:miRNA
GAACUGUCUCCAUGAGAUCCAGCUGUAAGGCAUUUUCCCAAUUAGUGAUUAAUGGAGGAGGGCCCAGCUCAUGGUGGGCGGGACCAUCUCUGGGUUGUUAGUCCUG